UCAGGAGGUGUCCAAAUGCCUACCACUUCCCCAAUCAAUGAUUACCUCACCUGUUCACUAUUCUCUCAUUUUAAUUUGAUAGCUCUCCAUUUAGCCACCAAGGAAAAAAACUCUUCAACAUGCAGUUAUUUACAUACAAUCUAAUCUCUCACAUUUCAGUAAUUUCCCUUGAAGAUUUGGAGCAACAUGUAAUCUGGAUGAAAAGGGGACAGUUGUCAAUGUAUGGGAAUUGUGCGUGAACUGAGUGGCACAUCGACAAGACCGAGAGGCCGGACACACAUGUAGAGGGACGGACGCAAGCUUUUUUUUCUUCCUGACGACGUCCUUCGACGCCAGAGCCACAGAUGUAGUGUUGGUGGAGAAUACCUACAUAGCCUAGAAUUUAUCCUUGGAUACAAAAUUCCCAUGAAGCUACACAGAGAGACAGCUAGGUCUGCUGUCAUGAACUUUCAGCGAGCCCGAGGUUUAGAAUGCAAGGUGUACGUGGCGACCUUCGUGUCAAACAUUAGCCUCGACCACAAAAAUGGUACGGCAGCCAUCUUUUCUUUCUCUAGCAGUGUUUUGUUCUAGUUCUGUUCAGAGUGAUGAUCUGGACACCAUUUGUAACUUUACGACUCUGUAUUAAACCCUGCGGCUUCAUUAAGAAUCACUUGAAAAUAAGGUCUGAUGCAUAAAAGCCUGACAGACUUUUAUGCGCUCAUUAAUAAACAUUUAUGACUUAAUUCUAA
ensembl:lncRNA